rnacentral:tRNA from 1 species
AUUUUUAUAGUUGAAAUACAACGAUGGUUUUUCAUGCCAUAGGUUAUGGUUAGAGUCCAUGUAAAAAUA